GAAAUGCGAUAAGUAAUGUGAAUUGCAGAAUUCAGUGAAUCAUCGAAUCUUUGAACGCACAUUGCGCCCGCCAGUAUUCUGGCGGGCAUGCCUGUCCGAGCGUCAUUUCAACCCUCAGGGCCCGUCCGCGGGACCUGGUGUUGGGGAUCGGCCCGCCUACUGCGGCGGCCGGCCCCGAAAUAUAGUGGCGGUCUCGUCGCGACCUCCCCUGCGUAGUAGCGAUACCUCGCAGCCGGAUGGCGACGCGGCCACGCCGUAAAACCCCCUACUUCUCAAGGUUGACCUCGGAUCAGGUAGGAAUACCCGCUGAACUUAA
rnacentral:misc_RNA from 1 species